AUUCAAACGUUCGUACUAAAGUGGGAUAACUUUUUAUCUCUGCUCUCUUCAGACAUCUGAAUCAUGCUGGAUCUGCUCUCUUCUCUCCAAUACUACAAAUGCUUUAAUAACUUUAAAACAUAAAAUAGAAAAUGAUGUGCGACAAACCAUGACAUGAUGGACAAUUGUUCGAGAUCCAUGAAAUGCUAUCUUUGUUGGGCUGUUUCCGUUCAGAAUAAACUUUGUGGAGAAGUAAGCCCUCGGCCCUAGAUUUGGUUCGAUACCUAUAGAAAAAGACGAGUGCAUAGCCUUAAAAAAUGUAACUGAAUGGUGAAAGAACGAGGACCGGUGCGAGGGUGGAGGGGAAUGGUAUGACGCAUAUCGGUAUUUUCAACGAUUUCCUAACGGUUACCAAAAGCAGAUUGAAUUGUCUUCGGAUUGAGGAUUGCGCAUUAUAGGAAGCAAAACAAAGGGUGCUCCCUCGAGAUGGCAUUAGCAUUGGACAAUUUCAUUUCGAAUUUGAGGCAGAACUGGAACUUUUCACAACAAACGGAAGGGCUUACAACUCGAUUUUGCAUCGUUCCAUUUUACAUUUUUUGUUCCAAGCCAGCUUAACUUAAAAGCGGAAGGAGCAACUUCAUCGUCGGUGCAUCCGAUUGAAUACGAAUUAUUAUCCACGAAAUGGAUUCUUUACUAUCUGGUGGGCACUUGAGUUGAUUAUCGAGUUGUGGUUUUAGCUGAGCUUCCAUUAAGCGGAUGUUGACAAGGCGGAAAUAUAGUCGCCGAAGUUAAAGAAUUCCUCAUGUGAAGCUUUUGAUGGUACGUAACAAUGUAACAAAUGAUGGGAUAUGCGCAGAAUUGUGAAAUGUGUGACCAAAAUACGUGCGAACGAAAAGUAAGCCGUCGUAACAGUUUACAAUUGGAAUCAAUAAAAGCAAAAUCGCAACAUA